GAAGCAGGCCGGUCUGUCGCUGGCACAUACGUGCGAGAGGAAAGUCCGGGCAACACAGAGCACCGCCCUUCUUAACUGGAAGACAGCCGCGAGGUUGUGGUAAAUGCAGAAGAAAACAACCGCCCGCAAGGGUAAGGGUGAGAAGGCAGGGUAAGAGCCUACCAAUAUCGGCAGUGAUGUCGAUUGUUGUGCAUCGGCGGGUCGAAAGGCCAAAUAUACCGGUAUAUUCG
rnacentral:RNase_P_RNA from 1 species